rnacentral:piRNA from 1 species
UGUUCAUGGUCCAAAGUUUGCCUCCUACAGAC